CAAUCCUUCGUGUUGUCGAGUUUGUUUGUCUCAGAGUCAGAGAGCCGUGUCUCUGUGCAGUCAGAGGUUUUUGUACGGCGGCUCAAUGAGUUUGUAUCACUGUGGUACACGUUUGGUGGAGGAACCAGACUGGAUGUUGGAAGUGAUACUCGUCCCAUCCUGACAGUGCUGCCCCCCUCCAGUGAGGAGCUGCAGCAGGGCAAUGCCACAAUCACAUGUCUGGCCAACAAGGGCUUCCCCUCAGACUGGAGGCUGUCCUGGAAGAUGGACGGCAGCGGCAGCAUCACCUGGGAGGAGAGCAGGAGCCCUGUGUUGCUGCACAAGGACGGCCUCUACAGCUGGAGCAGCACCCUGAGGCUCCCUGCAGACCAGUGGGGGAAGGUGGGCUCUGUGACCUGUGAGGCCACCCAGGGCUGCCAGACUCUGGUCUCAGAGCCACUCAGGAGAGACCAGUGUUCCCAGUCCUGACCUGCCUCAGUGUGAUGUUGUUUUUACUGCUCAGUCUGCACUCUGUAACUGUCUAUCUUCUAUUAUAACAAAUAAAGACUAAAACAGUUUCUUUCUCACAACAACAACAUUUGUGGUUUCAGAUAAUAAAGAUGUUUUGCAAAGUAAAUUUAAAUCAGG